rnacentral:rRNA from 1 species
UACGUAGGGUGCGAGCGUUACCCGGAUUUACUGGGCGUAAAGGGGGCGUAGGUGGCCGUGUAAGUCCGGUGUGAAAAGCCACGGCUCAACCGUGGACCUGCGCUGGAAACUACAUGGCUUGGGUGCGGCAGAGGCAGACGGAACUGCUGGUGUAGGGGUGAAAUCCGUAGAUAUCGGCAGGAACGCCGGUGGGGAAGCCGGUCUCCUGGGCCGCGCCCGACGCUGAGACCCGAAAGCUAGGGGAGCAAACCGG